rnacentral:sRNA from 1 species
UAUUCUGCCCUACAGGGAAGGAUGAGAAGCUUCGACUAAGGUUCGACUCGAGCGAAGCGAGAGAACGUUGCCGCAGGCAACGGCCCGAAGGGCGAGGCGCUUUAGCGCCGAGUAAUCCUUC